rnacentral:rRNA from 1 species
GGGCCCGCACAAGCGGUGGAGUAUGUGGUUUAAUUCGAUGCAACGCGAAGAACCUUACCAGGGUUUGACAUCCUGCGAAUCUCUUGGAAACAGGAGAGUGCCUUCGGGAACGCAGUGACAGGUGGUGCAUGGCUGUCGUCAGCUCGUGUCGUGAGAUGUUGGGUUAAGUCCCGCAACGAGCGCAACCCUUGUCCUUAGUUGCCAGCACGUAAUGGUGGGAACUCUAAGGAGACUGCCGGUGAUAAACCGGAGGAAGGUGUGGAUGACGUCAAGUCAUCAUGCCCCUUACAUCCUGGGCUACACACGUACUACAAUGCUACGGACAAAGGGCUGCAAGUUCGCGAGGACAAGCAAAUCCCAUAAACCGUGGCUCAGUUCAGAUCGUAGGCUGCAACUCGCCUACGUGAAGGCGGAAUCGCUAGUAAUCG